rnacentral:rRNA from 2 species
CGGAACGUCAAGCCUACAAUGCAGUCGAGCGGAACAAGGGAGCUUGCUCCCGGAUGUUAGCGGCGGACGGGUGAGUAACACGUGGGUAACCUGCCUGUAAGACUGGGAUAACUCCGGGAAACCGGAGCUAAUACCGGAUAGUUCCUUGAACCGCAUGGUUCAAGGAUGAAAGACGGUUUCGGCUGUCACUUACAGAUGGACCCGCGGCGCAUUAUCUAGUUGGUGGGGUAAUGGCUCACCAAGGCGACCAUGCGUAACCAACCUGAGAGGGUGAUCGGCCACACUGGGACUGAGACACGGCCCAGACUCCUACGGGAGGCAGCAGUAGGGAAUCUUCCGCAAUGGACGAAAGUCUGACGGAGCAACGCCGCGUGAGUGAUGAAGGUUUUCUGAUCGUAAAGCUCUGUUGUUAGGGAAGAACAAGUGCGAGAGUAACUGCUCGCACCUUGACGGUACCUAACCAGAAAGCCACGGCUAACUACGUGCCAGCAGCCGCGGUAAUACGUAGGUGGCAAGCGUUGUCCGGAAUUAUUGGGCGUAAAGGGCUCGCAGGCGGUUUCUUAAGUCUGAUGUGAAAGCCCCCGGCUCAACCGGGGAGGGUCAUUGGAAACUGGGAAACUUGAGUGCAGAAAAGGAGAGUGGAAUUCCACGUGUAACGGUGAAAUGCGUAUAGAUGUGGAGGAACACCAGUGGCGAACGCGACUCUCUGGCCUGUAACUGACGCUGAGGAACAAAGCGUGUGGGAGAAAUAAGGAUUAUAUACCCUGUGUAGUUCCUCGCCCUUAAACGAGAUAGUGCUAAAAGGUAAAGGGGUAGCCGCCCGAACACUGCGCCGG